UACAGAGGGUGCAAACGUUGUUCGGAUUUACUGGGCGUAAAGCGCGUGUAGGCUGCUUCGCAAGUCGGAUGUGAAAGCCCUGGGCUCAACCCAGGAAGUGCAUUCGAAACUGCAGAGCUGGAGUCCUGGAGAGGAAGGCGGAAUUCUCGGUGUAGAGGUGAAAUUCGUAGAUAUCGAGAGGAACACCGGUGGCGAAGGCGGCCUUCUGGACAGUGACUGACGCUGAGACGCGAAAAGCGUGGGGGAGCAAACAGG
rnacentral:rRNA from 1 species